rnacentral:lncRNA from 1 species
GUGUGAUGACACCAAGAGGUAUUGCAAUCGUAAUACCUGCUCUUGUAUCCUGUAUGCAAUAGCAACACCUGAAUACCUGAAGGGGCUACAAAUAUGGACACUAGGUCGCAAAAUUGCCUAUUUCCACCCACUCUCUUGAAAGCAAAAGCAAGUAUGAUAACUCAAAAUUGAGACUUGUAGGUAAUUUGGAAGCUUGAUUAACAUCUAUUAUCGCAAAUGUCUUCGAAUUUAAGGUAAGAUUUCAUCCCUUUCUUAGUGAAAUUCUUGGUUCUUGACCCAAAACCCUAAAUAGCAUGAGGGCUUGAUUUUAGCCCCAAAUUAGCUUGGUUUUCACCCAUUUCUUAGGGUUAUGAUUCCCUGAUCAUGUAUGAACAUUGGGUUGACCUUAGAAACAUGAUUUUUGUAAGUUGAACCCACUUGGGGUUUUUUAUGUCAUUUUUGGACCUGAAGAACAAUGGUGUAAUAUUAGUAUCAUUAUUCUCGAAUUGAUGAGUAGAUUAAAAUUUUGAUAGUGUGGAUAAGGUCCUGAGCGGGUCGGGUCGGGUCGGGUCACUUUACAUCUACCUCUUCUACUUUUAUUUUGACAUAUUACGUACAAAGCAAUAUCUUACAACAUCUAAUUUUGCACGUUAUUGUCAUUCCUUUCCUCUUUAUCCUCUAUUUGCACAUCAUUGCUUGCUUCCUUGUCUAUCACAUUUUUAUCAAGAAAAUCAUCUUGAAUUUUAUGAGUUACAAUGUCAUGCGUUAUCUGAUUUGGAGAAGGCAUGCGAUAUAUAAUUGGAUGACAGUCUACAUUAGCUAUAAUUGUCAGUGGCUACUAUAUUGUUGAACUAAAAGCUCUUGAUUCUCCAAGGUACUGCUUAUAUCUACUAAAUUAUGCAUAUCUCCUCUGUCCAGGUCACGUUUAUUCAAUUGCUCAUCUCCCUUGUGAACCACUUCAAUAAUAGGCUUAAUAUCUAUGUCUACAGUGAGGGACUUAUUAGAGAUAUCUGUUUUCUCUAACACUUGUUCUUGUUUAUCCAUGAUAGUGUUGACUCUACUAGAGAUGAGGAAUCAUUUUUCCACUCAACCUCUAGUAUCUUCCUCUUUAUCUUGACUUUGAGACACUAGAUCUAUCAUAAAAUCCUCAUUAAUAUGCACUAGUCCCAGAGUCUGCACUAUUGUUACUCUCCAUCAUCACUUCCUGGUUGUCUUCUUUUUUAUGCUUUAUUUCCUUCUGCACCUUUUCUGGGUUUAUCAUCAUCUAAGAUCCACCUUGUGGUAUUGAUUCACUAUUAAUGCCUGACCUUUCCUUAACCUAUUCUCUACCUCCUCCUCAGUGAUGGAAUCCAAGGUUGCAUAUUGAUUAAGUGAACAAAUAGUUGGUCUUUUGUUGUUGCCCUUCAACUAUGAGUUCUGAUUAUUAAACAUGGCCUUCCCUUUCUUAGUUGUUAUUGCAUUCGAAACCUCGGGAUUACCCAGGAUCUUUCCACUUGUUAGCUUUCUUGGAAAGGAUCCAGUAGGUUGGGUCAGUUGUGUAUUGCAUCAUUUCUCUUAAUUUGCUUUUUUGGUUAUACCUUUUUUAUUUUCUCAUCUCCAUCAUUCUUUCUUCUAUCUUCAAAUUCCUUGUGUAAUGUUGGUUCCUGGUUGUUCUUUUCUUGUCUCUUUGUUAAUUUAGGUUGCAUUACCUAAUAUUCAUAUAUAUUGUGGCCUUGUAACUUACAUUUUCUGCAAUAUUUAGGCAAAUAAUCACAUUGAAUGUCAACUUUCACAGUCCUUAUAGUUUUAUUGAUUCAUCCUCAAUAUUCAUCCUCACAUGGUCAGGUAGAAUAGACAUUAAAUCGACUAGAACCUUAUCUUUAGCACAGCUAGGUCUAGUUUUAUUAAUUAUGGCCAUAUCUAAAUGCAUAAGGGUGCAUACCGAGGAUGCUAAAGAAACUAACACCUCCUCGACAAAAUAGAUUGGGAGUAAGUUGGGGAAAGAGACUCAUGUCAUUGUCAUAGUAUUUUCCUCCUCCACAGUGAAAUUAGAGUUAUAAAUUAGUAGUCUCAUUUGAUUAGAAGCACCAUCUUUUGAUUUGAUGUAGAGAGUUGUCGCCAGAGUUGGAUUAAUGAAAUCUUCUCUCAAAGAAAGCCUAAUUAGAAUCCUUCUAUUUCUAAACUAACCAGUCUAACAAUCGCCUUUGAUGUUACAUUAUCCAGGGAUCGUGGUACAUAUCUCUUCCGACCAUCCAUAUGGAAACUUUCCAACAAUAGCAUCUUGUAAAUUUUCAGUAAUACUUAUUGUAGCAACUUCAGAUUUGGAUCACUUUUAUGGAUGGUUCCCUAUGUAACAUAUGGUUUAAUA